CUGUUCCUGACUGCCACAGGCUCCCCAGCAGCCCACAAGCCCUCCCCACUGGCUCUGUAAUAGCAACUGGCCGGUCGUCUUGAGUGCACCUUGAACAUGCUUAUUGUCCUAGGGGAUGAGCAUUAUUCUGGUCUAAGGACAGGAUACUUUGGAAAAGAAGUUCUGCUUUUGUUUCCACGGAAGAUGAAAAGCUGUGGAUUCCUUCCAAACUAAUAAGGUUUGAUCAAGCAAGACCCCCUGAAGCAGUGACCCAGGUGAUCCAACAUCCAAAACAGCUGAGACCAUGCAGCCUCACAGACCACUACAGCCAGGAUUUUUCCAUGGCUCUAAGUUCUCUGAGGAUCCCCUUGGGAUUGACAGUGCCCACAAACAGCAGUUUGGAAAGAACUAUGCCCAUAUUCCCAAAUAUUGUCUGUUUGUUUUCAUUUAAACAGGGUUAUAAAUAGUUAAUGAUUACAGUCAAUCUCUUUCCAAAGAAGGGAAAUAUAAUAUAGAAGUGAAUAAAUUGGUAUGGAUUUUGGUUUAUUGAU
rnacentral:lncRNA from 1 species